rnacentral:rRNA from 1 species
UACGUAGGGUGCAAGCGUUGUCCGGAAUUAUUGGGCGUAAAGAGCUCGUAGGCGGUCUGUCGCGUCGCUGUGAAAUCCCGAGGCUCAACCUCGGGUCUGCAGUCGAUACGGGCAAACUAGAGUAUUGCAGGGGAGACUGGAAUUCCUGGUGUAGCGGUGAAAUGCGCAGAUAUCAGGAGGAACACCGGUGGCGAAGGCGGGUCUCUGGGCAAUAACUGACGCUGAGGAGCGAAAGCGUGGGAGCGAACAGG